AUGGGGGUCCGGCUGGGCGCCGCAGAGCCGGGCUCCCGCAGACCACCACCACACCGYGCGGGAGACCGGGGGGGCCGGGGCCUCGCGCCGGCACCUCGGGGCGGCCGGGACGGCGGGACAAGGCACACGGCGCCGCAGGGACAGGGUACAUUCAGCCCUUUGGCCAGGGGCACGCGGUGCCUCCGCGCACCGUCGGCCGGGAGAGGCGGGAUGCGGGGACGGGGACACAUUCACACCCGGCCCCUGGGACCGGGCACAUUCACACCUGAUCCCAGGGAUGGGGACACAUUCGUCCCUGGCCCCGGGCGCAGCCGUGCCCCCGGCCCCUGGACCAGGGAUGCUUCCCGGGGGCAGCGGGAAGGGAGAGGGAAGGCCAGAUCCCGGCUCGRCUUUACACCGGCAGAGGGGAGGGAGGCUGGUGCUGACGGGGGGGGGGGGGUGGAUGGGAACUCCCCCAGACGGACAGCGAUGCCCAGCCCAGGCGGGGGGAGCGACGGGGGGGCCCUGCCCCGGGGACCCGCCGAGCCGGGGGCGGCCGGGCGCCCAGCCAGCACCGCCGGUCCCUGUCCCCCGGCCCCGUGGGGCCCUGCCUGCCCCGUCAGCGCCAGCGGAGGUAGAAAAUGUCACGUACAACGUCACCCGCCAGGUGAAAACAAACAAAACGCGAUGAGAAGCCGGUCCCGCGGGGGCGAGGGGGCCGGUGCGGUGCCCCAGGGUCACGCGGGAACCAGCCAGGCCCGGCCGGGUCCCCAGCGCCGGCCACGCGGAGCCUGCCCCACGGCUGCCCCGGCCCCACCGGCUCCCCUCGGCCCCACAGCCCCCCACACCCCCCGUGCAGCCCCGCACCAGCAUCCCGGUCCCGGUGCGGGCUUGGAGCUGGGUCCUGGGCAGCGGUGGCACCCAUGGGUGCUGCCCCUCCGGGAUGCCCCGUGCCCAGGCCCCCCCCGGGCACGCACGGGAGCCCAGCGUGCUCCCGCCACCCAGCACCGCGCUGGGGACCCUGGCGCGUCCCCGCCGUACGGCACGGGGCUGCCCCAGCCCGGCCCGGAGCCCCUCGCC
rnacentral:lncRNA from 1 species